ensembl:lncRNA
AUGUAUUUUUCCCCAGUUCUUCUAUCCAGUCCUAGCAUCACAUUCAAACCUUCCAGAAAAGCCAAAUGGGGAGAGAAAGUUGACAUUGUCUGCUCCAUCUCAAGUCAACACUUAGGUGGUACAUUCAUCCUGGAAAAGGUUUCUGGUUCUUUUAAAGAGACCGUGGAGACUGCAGGAACUUCAGCUACCUUCACCAUUGCUAAAGUAGACUUUUCUCAUGCGGGGUUAUACUUCUGCCAGUAUCUGACCACAGUUUCUAAUCAUAACUUCAGCUCUUCCUCAACUCCACCUUUCUCCAACUUAUCUGUGGAAGUGCUUCUUGCUCAGCCCAGCAUUUCCAUCAGUGCUCCAAAUGGAGGGCUGUCCUGGGGUCCACAGGGUCCAGUGAUUAACAGAGGCCACAGUUUCUCCAUUACCUGCUCCACCCAGUCACAGUAUCCAGGGGGUUCUUUCAACCUCAUCUUCAGUGGGUCCAACACAAGCAAGACAGAGCUCGCUGUCAAUCAUUCUGCCACCUUCAAUGUUCAUGAGGCCUUUUUUUCCAACCAAGGGAACUACAGCUGCAUCUACACAGUGGCUGUGGCAAACCUUUACUUUAGUUCAGUGGAGACUGAAGAACUGGUUGUCACUAUAAAAGGAACAAUUAUGUUGCUUCAUACAAAAUCUGCAUUCCCCAUAUGGGCCUAUGGUGUCAUGGCAGUCCUGCUGCUCUUCCAGCUAGUUGUGGCUAUCAUCUGUGUUAUGAAAAGACGGAGGCGUGGUCUACUGGAGAUGAACAUUGAGUAUUGGGCCAUGAAAACAUACAGCGGCUUGGACGACAACAGAGGUGAAGAAAAAUUAGACAAGGAACAAGAUGAGAGUGCAGAAUAAUCUAUCCUGAAUUACUACGGCUGACAAAAAAAAUCACCCUGGUCUCCGGCCGAAAAUAUUGUGACAGCAACCAUACAUUUAUUUCUUCAUGUAUACUACAUUAUACUAAUUGUGAUUAUAAAAUUAUACCUAUUAAUCUGUAGCAUGAAAUGUAGGGUGUAAGUAGCCUAGUGGGUUAGACACUCACCUAUGAACAAAAACACCACAAAGACACAGGUUCAAACCCCACUGCAUACCAUUGUGUCUUAAUCUUACAAAUGAGGAUGAGAUAAUAAGAUUCUAUUCAUUGUACUCUAGCUUGUAACUGAUUUCUAUGUCCAUCUCUGUCCCUUAAUAAAUAAAAUAUUUGAAGAGACC